rnacentral:misc_RNA from 1 species
CUGAGUGAGGGCCUCUGGCCCGACCUCCAACCCUUUGUGAUUAAACCAUUGUUGCCUCGGGGAGGUCCGGCCUCACGGCCGUGACGCCCCGGUGGACCAUUUCUAAACACUGCAUCUAUGCGUCGGAUUUUACAAGUUUAAUUUGAUUA